GCGUUGUUCGGAAUUACUGGGCGUAAAGCGCGCGUAGGCGGCUUUGUAAGUUAGAGGUGAAAGCCCGGGGCUCAACUCCGGAAUUGCCUUUAAGACUGCAUCGCUAGAAUCGUGGAGAGGUAAGUGGAAUUGGUAGUGUAGCAGUGAAAUGCGUAGAUAUUACCAGGAACACCAAUGGCGAAGGCAGCUUGCUGGGCCACUCCUGACACUGAGGUACGAAAGCGUGGGGAGCGAACAGG
rnacentral:rRNA from 1 species